AAGUCGUAACAAGGUUUCCGUAGGUGAACCUGCGGAAGGAUCAUUAACACGUAUCCAACGUUAAACCCCCCUGUGAACCUUCAGAAGUCCGUUCUUUGUCGACCAGUAUUGAUUCGGGACCUCUGACAAAUGCCUUACGAUCGAGCUGUACAGUGACAUGGCUUCCAGUGAAUGAAAGUGUCACCGGAUAACGCCUCACGAUUGCUGGGUCGACCACCGGCCAGCUUCCAUGUCAUAGGGUCCUUUGAGAUCCCUUCGAAACCCCACUACUUUAUAGUUCGGGCUUGCUAAAUACACGCCCAAAAAAACGAACAACUGUUAACAAUGGAUAUCUUGGUUCUC
rnacentral:misc_RNA from 1 species